rnacentral:ncRNA from 1 species
AACGGGGUGCCAAUUUGGGCUGAGAAAUAACCCGUAGAACCUGAUCCGGCUAAUACCGGCGUAGGGAUUUGA